rnacentral:rRNA from 1 species
UGAUAACCUGCCCUUCACUCUGGGAUAACGUCGGGAAACCGGUGCUAAUACUGGAUAUGACCCGAACAGGCAUCUGUAUCGGGUGGAAAGAUUUAUUGGUGGAGGAUGGACUCGCGGCCUAUCAGCUUGUUGGUGAGGUAAUGGCUCACCAAGGCGACGACGGGUAGCCGGCCUGAGAGGGCGAUCGGCCACACUGGGACUGAGACACGGCCCAGACUCCUACGGGAGNA